rnacentral:misc_RNA from 1 species
GAUGAAGAACGCAGCGAAAUGCGAUACGUAGUGUGAAUUGCAGAAUUCCGUGAAUCAUCGAAUCUUUGAACGCACAUUGCGCCCCUUGGUAUUCCAUGGGGCAUGCCUGUUCGAGCGUCAUUUGUACCUUCAAGCUCUGCUUGGUGUUGGGUGUUUGUCUCGCCUCUGCGUGUAGACUCGCCUCAAAACAAUUGGCAGCCGGCGUAUUGAUUUCGGAGCGCAGUACAUCUCGCGCUUUGCACUCAUAACGACGACGUCCAAAAGUACAUUUUUACACUCUUGACCUCGGAUCAGGUAGGGAUACCCGCUGAACUUAAGCAUAUCAAUAAGCGGAGGA